GGUCACCGUGGUGUAGGUGGUUAACGCGUUGGCGUGCGCUGCCGAAGUCGCCGGUUCAAAACCUGCCGUACCCA
rnacentral:tRNA from 1 species